rnacentral:rRNA from 1 species
GCAUAAUAAAUAGUUUUUUAAUUGGAAACUGGAAUGAAGGGUAAUUACUAAAUGGAAGGUUUUAUUUUAUGAAUUUGAAUUUAAAUUAAAAGUAAAAAUGCUUUUAUAGUACCUUGGGACGAGAAGACCCUAAAAGCUUAAAAUUAGACUAAUUUUUGUUGGGGCAACAUUUGAAGAUAAAUAUUUUUAUUAGCAUGAAUUUUAUUUAAAUAUAUAAGUUACUUUAGGGAUAACAGCGUUAUUUAAUUAGCAAGUUCUUAUUAAUAAUUAAGGUUGCGACCUCGAUGUUGAAUUAAAU